rnacentral:tRNA from 1 species
UGGGCAUCUACUGUGGUGUAGAUUGACCGCCUAGAGAGCGUGUUAAGAAGGGUUCGAUUCCCUUAUGCUCAA